AUUAAACGCUGGCGGCAUGCCUUACACAUGCAAGUCGAACGGCAGCACGGGGGCAACCUUGGUGGCGAGUGGCGAACGGGUGAGUAAAGCAUCGGAACGUGCCCUGGAGUGGGGGAUAACGUAGCGAAAGUUGCGCUAAUACCGCAUAUUCUGUGAGCAGGAAAGCAGGGGGACCGCAAGGCCUUGCGCUCUUUGAGCGGCCGAUGUCAGAUUAGCUAGUUGGUGAGGUAACGGCUUACCAAGGCGACGAUCUGUAGCGGGUCUGAGAGGAUGAUCCGCCACACUGGAACUGAGACACGGUCCAGACUCCUACGGGAGGCAGCAGUGGGGAAUUUUGGACAAUGGGGGCAACCCUGAUCCAGCCAUGCCGCGUGAGUGAAGAAGGCCUCGGGUUGGUAAAGU
rnacentral:rRNA from 1 species